UGUCCCUCACCUGUGUACUUCCUCCCAGCUUGUUAACCCUGUGUAUAUAUCCUUUUUUGUUUCCCUCAGUCUUUGUCGUGUGUCUACGCUCUGUCUCAUGUUGCCUGCCUCGCUCGUCGUGGUUCCCUGCUUUCUUUGGAUUCUGUUUGGAUUACCUUGUUUUUGGACUCUGUUAUCAGCCACUCUGCCAGCAAUCCACAGAUGACGAGGAUGCAUUUACAAAGAGGAUGAAAAUCGGCAUGGUGAAAGACAGAAGACUUUCUUGACAUGUCGGUGGUCCUCAAGGAAGAAGUGAUCCCUUCGGAUCUGAAGGACAUCCCGAAUGCCGUUGCCAUACUGAUGGGCUUUCUUUUUGCUCUCAACAUAGACUAUCCAAGGGAACUGAGGUACAUCUUUGAAGUCAUCCCAAAAGGUCCUCAUGAACAUUGGUGGAGGACAGUGUUCCUCACUUGUGCGUGGUUUAAGAAAUAUACUGUUAGUAGACAGUGUUGAAGCAUUCAGUACUGUCUCAGCAGUUUAACAGUAUUUCUUUUUUUUUUUUCAUUGCUUAAAUUCAUACACUUUGUUUUGUAUAGUGUUAUUGGCAAACAAUGUAGAACAGUUGCAUCAUUUUGAGUUGUAAAACAAACACAUGAUUGUUUGGAAAUGGUUUUAUUGUCAAACUAAUAUUGUGUUACAAUUCAGUGUUUUCUAUUCUAUGCAGACUGCACACGUUUUUAUCUGUUCAUAUAUGGCUGAUGGCAUAGGGUAUGUUUCUGUGGCUGUCCACUGACUAGUUAUGGUCUUUAAAGGAUCAGUGUGUAGGAUUUUUGUGGCAACAGCAAUGUCAUUUCAGAUUUCAACUAUCUGCUCCCACUUCCACUCUAAGAUACCAGAAAGUUAUCUUCAGGCAAUUUGACACCUAACUAAAACAUACCUGUGAAUAUUGCGUAACACUUCUACCAAUAGAUCCUAAACCCUGAACCUUCAGGUUGAAAAAGUGAUAGACUUUGGCCUCUGUUGUCAGAAGUAAAUGUCAUCUUUGAUCAAUAAAUGUUAAGGUGCAUGGA